rnacentral:rRNA from 1 species
CCCGGUGGCUGUGGCGGAGGGGUACCACCCGUUCCCAUCCCGAACACGGCAGUUAAGCCCUCCAGCGCCGAUGGUACUGCACUGGCAACGGUGUGGGAGAGUAGGUCGUUGCCGGGA